rnacentral:snoRNA from 1 species
GACCGCAUAUGAUGAGCUAGCUUUCAAAAUCAUUCAGUUAUCCCUGUCUGAAAAUACUGUGUUGAUCUUGUCUAAAAUCUGAUCCGGCU